rnacentral:lncRNA from 1 species
GAUGAGUUGUUCUUGUGGUAAUUUGAUUGAGAUUUCUUUCUUGAUGAAAGAAAUAUAUGUGUAGCUCAAUCAAUCUAUAAAGCUGAAUACAUUGUUUAACUGCAUGGUGUUUGAAUUGAAGUGGAAGAAAUUGUGCCUAACUAAACCUCAUAAAACUAACUUAUGAGGUUGGUUGAGGUUUGCACCCCUUAUAUACAAGAAAAGACAACCUCAUAAAACUAACUCAUGAGGUUGGUUGAGGUUUGCACCCCCUUAUAUACAAGAAAAG